rnacentral:rRNA from 1 species
AGCAGUCAAGAAUAUUAGUCAAUGCUCGCAAGAGUGAACUAGCUAACUGAAAUCUUAAUCUAAAUAUUAAGAUAAGGUAAGAGAAAAUAAUGAUAUUAUCUUACUAUUAGUGUCGUCUAAAUUUGGUGCCAGAAGACUCGGUAAGACCUUAGACGCAAACGUUAAUCGUCAUAAUCAGGCGUAAAGGGUGUGUAGGCGGCUUUAAAAAGAUAUAAUUAAGAAUAUAAUUAUUAUAGCUAACAAAAAUUAUAUUUGAAUAAAAGCUAGAAUCUAAAAGAGGGUAAGCUAAACAACAUAAUUAAUUGGGACUGACAACUUAUAAUAAUGUGGAGUACUAAAGGUUAAAGCUAUUUAUCUACUUAAGAUUGACGCUAAGAAACGAAGGGGAGAAUAAGAAACUUAGAUUAGAGACCUAAUUAUCUCUCUCAGUCAACGAUGAAUGGUAGUUAUUAAAAAAAAUUUAUAUUAUUAGUAACGAGGUUAACACGAUGACCAUUCCGCCUUGUUAGUAAGACUGCAAAGUUGAAAACAAAAAAAUUAGUCGGUCUUGAAGCAAACGAAGUGAAGCAUGUUAUUUAAUUCGAUAAUCCGCA